CUCCGGCACAUGGAACAUCUCGCUUACGGCUGCUUCCUUCCGGACCUGACCGGGUUCACGAGCUUCCAUUGCGGAG
rnacentral:SRP_RNA from 1 species